rnacentral:rRNA from 1 species
AGAGUUUGAUCCUGGCUCAGGACGAACGCUGGCGGCGUGCUUAACACAUGCAAGUCGAGCGGAAAGGCCCUUCGGGGUACUCGAGCGGCGAACGGGUGAGUAAUACGUGAGUAAUCUGCCCCUAGCUCUGGGAUAGCUCCGGGAAACCGGGAUUAAUACCGGAUACGACCACCUUAGACAUCUUUUGUGGUGGAAAGAAUUUCGGCUAGGGAUGAGCUCGCGGCCUAUCAGCUUGUUGGUGGGGUAACGGCCUACCAAGGCGACGACGGGUAGCCGGCCUGAGAGGGCGACCGGCCACACUGGGACUGAGACACGGCCCAGACUCCUACGGGAGGCAGCAGUGGGGAAUAUUGCGCAAUGGGCGAAAGCCUGACGCAGCGACGCCGCGUGGGGGAUGAAGGCCUUCGGGUUGUAAACCCCUUUCAGCAGGGACGAAGCGAAAGUGACGGUACCUGCAGAAGAAGCGCCGGCUAACUACGUGCCAGCAGCCGCGGUAACACGUAGGGCGCAAGCGUUGUCCGGAAUUAUUGGGCGUAAAGAGCUCGUAGGCGGUCUGUUGCGUCCGCUGUGAAAACUCGGGGCUUAACCCCGAGCCUGCAGUGGAUACGGGCAGACUAGAGGUAGGUAGGGGAGAAUGGAAUUUCCCGGUGUAGCGGUGAAAUGCGCAGAUAUCGGGAGGAACACCGGUGGCGAAGGCGGUUUCUCUGGGCCUUACCUGACGCUUAAGAACGAAAGCGUGGGGAAGCGAACAGGAUUAGAUACCCCCGUAGUCC